GACGAACCGUGCGAACGUUGUUCGGAAUCACUGGGCUUAAAGGGUGCGUAGGCGGCCUUGUAAGUCAGGGGUGAAAGACGGUAGCUUAACUAUCGCAGUGCCUUUGAUACUGCAGGGCUUGAAUGUACUUGAGGUAGGCGGAAUGUGACAAGUAGCGGCGAAAUGCAUAGAUAUGUCACAGAACACCAAUUGCGAAGGCAGCUUACUAAAGUAUGAUUGACGCUGAGGCACGAAAGCGUGGGGAUCAAACAGG
rnacentral:rRNA from 1 species